rnacentral:rRNA from 1 species
GACGAACGCUGGCGGCGUGCCUAAUACAUGCAAGUAGGACGCAGUUGCGAACGGGUGAGUAACGCGUAGGUAACUACCUAUUAGAGGGGGAUAACUAUUGGAAACGAUAGCUAAUACCGCAUACUAGUAGAUGGACCUGCGUUGUAUUAGCUAGUAGGUAGGGUAAUGGCCUACCUAGGCAACGAUACAUAGCCGAACUGGGAGGGGGAUCGGGCACACUGGGACCGGAACACGGCCCAGACUCCUACGGGAGGGAGCAGGAGGGAAUCUUCGGGAAUGGGGGGAACGCUUGCCAGACAACGCCGCGGGAGGGAAGAAAGUUUUCGGAUCGUAAAGCUAUGUUGGUAAGGAAGCGGUACUUAACCAGAAAGGGACGGCUAACUACGUGCCAGCAGCCGCGGUAAUAC